GACAAUAAAAGAAUACUCAAAUACAAAACACACAGUGAAAUUAUCAGGAAAAUGAAAUGGGUUUCUCACUUUCUCUACCUUAAACCCCAAAGCCAAAAUCUUUACCUUAAAUCCCAAAAGGCAAAACCUUUACAGGAAUUCCUUACAAAAAUGAGUUUCUUUACACCUUCACUAAUGAACCAUCUUUGUCUCAAUGCCUUUAGCAGAAGACCUCGCCUUUCCACUCUGCUCUGCUCUCUCCACCAGGCUUAGCACUUCCUUGUUGCCAUUCUCAUGAUACGCAGCUGAUGAGUGUGUUUACAUGAAAAUUUGGAACUGCUGUCUGUUAACAUAUAAAAAGAGCCUCAAAAUGUACCACUUAUGGACCACUUACUUCUUGAUGAAGGUAUGAUAAUGAUUUCUUCUCAAGUGUAAGUUUAGUUACAUAUAAAUGGAUUAUGGAGUAGUGUCAUCACAGCUGUGGUGAGAGAUUUCCUCUGCACUUUGCAAGGAAGAAUUGUUGAAAUUUAUGGGCGAGGCAUCUGGGAAGACAACACCUGCCCUUCACAUCAUCAAGGUAGCUCAAAAGCUUAGAGGUGCACACUAAUUCUGUCCUCUUGUACUUUGUGAUUGGCGUUUUAAAUAUGACUUGAAUUAGUUUGGUUUGCCAAGGAUAACAGGAAACUUCUUUUUAACUAACCCAUCAUAGUAUAAUUUAAUCAGUCAAAUUAAAACAUAGAUCCUAAACCCUUAACUUUUUUAAUAUAUGUUUAUUACAUUAAUCAAUGAUAUAUAUUUUUUUAAUAAGAUCCUUUUGCAAGAAUUUCCUGCCUAUUCUGCUUCUGGGCUUGUGCUUAAAUUGCUUAUCCCAUCAAGGGUUAAUGCCCCCAAAUUACCCGCCAACUACUAUGGAGGGUGGGGUUAGUUGCUCAUAGGUUUUAAUGGUUAGAGGCAAUUCUAAAGGGCUCUUCUUUAGAAAGGUUCUCUACAUUAUCUAACAUGGAAAAAAAGUUCAUGCCUAUUUUAGCUAUUAUCAUUCUAUCAAGAGAUGUUGGACCUUAUAAAAAAAAGAAAAAAAGUCAAGGGAUGUUGAACCUCAAUGAGUAGAUUAUUACAAAUUCUAGUCCAAAUGGUUCAAAGGACUUCAACAAACCAUGGUCCAUGGAAUAAGAUAUUUCUAUUGUCAUUUCUUCAGCUAUGUUCAGCAUAAAUUUUGUCAGGGCUAAUGGUUCAGCUAGACUACCCUUUGGUGUACUUUCAUUGGAAAUAUCACACUUGUCUGGCAACUGAUCAUGGGAGAUUCUUCUUGUUUCUCAAUUGACAAAUUUUCAUGGGAGAUUGUUCUCAUAGAAAGAGAUGUUCCUUGCGCUUAAAAUUGCCACUGCUUAUCAAUUCAGCAAAAAAUGCAGCACAGAAUGUCUCAGCCUUCUCUUGUAUUGGAAAUAAUUAUAAUAAUAUUGUGGUGUGAAUUAUGUGUUGUAAUGGUUAAUGAAGUGAUAUGUGUUCAUAUUUAUGAUUUCAUUAAUAUUUCAUUUAUUAUCUUUGCACAAUUUUUCAAUAA